CCUACGGAGGACAGCAGUGGGGAAUAUUGCACAAUGGGGGAAACCCUGAUGCAGCGACGCCGCGUGAGUGAAGAAGUCAUUCGUGAUGUAAAGCUCUAUCAGCAGGGAAGAAAAUGACGGUACCUGAGUAAGACGCCCCGGCUAACUACGUGCCAGCAGCCGCGGUAAUACGUAGGGGGCAAGCGUUAUCCGGAUUUACUGGGUGUAAAGGGAGCGUAGACGGCAGUGCAAGUCUGGAGUGAAAGGCGGGGGCUCAACCCCCGGACUGCUCUGGAAACUGUACGGCUGGAGUGCAGGAGAGGUAAGUGGAAUUCCUAGUGUAGCGGUGAAAUGCGUAGAUAUUAGGAGGAACACCAGUGGCGAAGGCGGCUUACUGGACUGUAACUGACGUUGAGGCUCGAAAGCGUGGGGAGCAAACAGGAUUAGAUACCCGAGUAGUC
rnacentral:rRNA from 1 species